rnacentral:misc_RNA from 1 species
GUGAAUCAUCGAAUUUUUGAACGCAAAUUGCACUCUUUGGUAUUCCGGAGAGUAUGCCUGUUUGAGGGUCAGUUUCAAUAAAAAUAGGUGUGGUUGGUGCCUUUCGUGGUGAUGCAGCGGGUUUGGGUCGUCUUGUCUUGGGGUCAGUUAUCUAAAUUUUUGGAUGAUUUUUUUCGUAUGUAUUUAAAUGUUUUUACGUAUGUUUGCGAUAUAGAAUACUUGGUGG